ACGAACCUCUCGGAGGUGCCACUGGCAGAGAAAUUGUCUUCCUCUUCUCCACGAUGUACAGAACCAAAGUGGGCCUGGAGGACCGCCAGCAACUUUACAAGUUGAUCAUUAGCCAGCUGCUCUAUGAUGGCUUCAUCAGCAGUGCUAAUGGCCUCAUCAAUGAAAUCAAGCCUCAGUCUGUUUGUGCACCCUCAGAGCAGCUCCUGCAUCUCAUCAAACUAGGAAUGGAAAACAAUGAUACCGCAGCUCAGGAUGCAAUUGGUCGUUCGGAUACAGUUGCCCCAGGCACGGGCAUUGACCUGGAGUUUGAGGCAGAUGUCCAGACCAUGUCCCCAGAGGCUUCAGAGUAUGAAACCUGCUAUGUCACAUCCCAUAAAGGACCAUGCCGAGUAGCCACCUAUAGUAGAGAUGGGCAGCUAAUAGCUACCGGGUCUGCUGACGCCUCCAUAAAGAUACUCAGCACAGAAAGAAUGUUGGCCAAAAGUGCCAUGCCAAUAGAGGUUAUGAUGAAUGAGACUGCACAACAAAAUAUGGAAAACCACCCAGUGAUCCGGACCCUUUAUGACCAUGUGGACGAAGUCACGUGUCUUGCUUUCCACCCAACAGAACCGAUCCUUGCCUCUGGCUCAAGGGAUUACACCCUUAAGUUGUUUGAUUAUUCCAAACCCUCGGCAAAAAGAGCCUUCAAGUACAUUCAGGAAGCUGAAAUGUUACGCUCCAUCUCUUUUCACCCUUCCGGAGACUUUAUACUUGUGGGGACUCAGCAUCCUACUCUUCGGCUCUAUGAUAUCAACACAUUUCAGUGUUUUGUCUCUUGCAAUCCUCGAGAUCAACACACCGAUGCCAUAUGUUCUGUUCAUUACAACCCUAGUGCCAACAUGUAUGUGACCGGUAGCAAGGACGGCUGCAUCAAGCUGUGGGAUGGCGUCUCGAAUCGGUGCGUCACAACUUUCGAGAAGGCACACGACGGUGCUGAAGUUUGUUCUGCCAUCUUUUCCAAAAAUUCUAAAUACAUUCUUUCAAGUGGAAAAGACUCUGUAGCUAAACUUUGGGAAAUAUCAACAGGACGAAUGCUGGUCGGAUUCACGGGUGCUGGCUUGAGCGGGCGGCCGGUGCACCGGACACAGGCUGUCUUCAACCAUACAGAGGACUACGUGCUGCUGCCAGACGAGAGGACCAUCAGCCUGUGCUGCUGGGACUCACGCACAGCUGAGCGCCGAAACCUGCUGUCCCUGGGCCACAACAGCAUCGUGCGCUGCAUCGUGCACUCGCCCACCAGCCCCGGCUUCAUGACCUGCAGCGAUGACUUCAGGGCCAGGUUCUGGUACCGGAGGUCAACCACAGACCAGGACCCUGCCCCUCCCUCCCAUGUGUCCCAUCACCAGCCUCAGUAG